rnacentral:rRNA from 1 species
GACGAACGCUGGCGGCGCGCUUAACACAUGCAAGUCGAACGGAAAGGCCUGCUUUCCCUUGUGGAUUGCGGGUACUCGAGUGGCGAACGGGUGAGUAACACGUGAGUGAUCUGCCCCCAACUUGGGUAUAAGCCUGGGAAACUGGGUCUAAUUCCCGAUAGGACUGCUGGGUGGUGCCUGUGGUGGAAAACGAUUUUCCAGUGGUUGGGGAUGAGCUCGCGGCCUAUCAGCUUGUUGGUGGGGUAAUGGCCUACCAAGGCGGCGACGGGUAGCCGGCCUGAGGGGGUGACAGGCAAUAUUGGGAAGGAGCUAAGGCCAGGCCUCCGACGGGAGGCUGGAGUGGGGAAUAUUGCACUAUGGACGGAGCCCGGAUGAGGCAAGGCGGCGUGGGGGAUGACGGCUUUCGGGUUGUAAGGCGAUUGAGCCUGUGACGAAGUGUGAGUGAAGGUAAUGGGUAAAGAAGAACAGGAUAACUACGUG